AGUGAACGCUGGCGGUAGGCCUAACACAUACAAGUCGAACGGCAGCACAGUAAGAGCUUGCUCUUACGGGUGGCGAGUGGCGGACGGGUGAGGAAUACAUCGGAAUCUACUUUUUCGUGGGGGAUAACGUAGGGAAACUUACGCUAAUACCGCAUACGACCUACGGGUGAAAGCAGGGGAUCUUCGGACCUUGCGCGAUUGAAUGAGCCGAUGUCGGAUUAGCUAGUUGGCGGGGUAAAGGCCCACCAAGGCGACGAUCCGUAGCUGGUCUGAGAGGAUGAUCAGCCACACUGGAACUGAGACACGGUCCAGACUCCUACGGGAGGCAGCAGUGGGGAAUAUUGGACAAUGGGCGCAAGCCCGAUCCAGCCAUACCGCGUGGGUGAAGAAGGCCUUCGGGUUGUAAAGCCCUUUUGUUGGGAAAGAAAAGCAGCAGGUUAAUACCCCGCUGUUCUGACGGUACCCAAAGAAUAAGCACCGGCUAACUUCGUG
rnacentral:rRNA from 1 species